rnacentral:rRNA from 1 species
UACGUAGGCAGCGAGCGUUGUUCGGAGUUACUGGGCGUAAAGGGUGUGUAGGCGGUUGUUUAAGUUUGGUGUGAAAUCUCCCGGCUCAACUGGGAGGGUGCGCCGAAUACUGAAUGACUUGGAGUGCGGGAGAGGAGAGUGGAAUUCCUGGUGUGGCGGUGAAAUGCGUAGAUAUCAGGAGGAACACCGGUGGUGUAGACGGCUCUCUGGACCGUAACUGACGCUGAGACACGAAAGCGUGGGUAGCAAACAGG